rnacentral:rRNA from 1 species
AACCUGCGGAGGGAUCAUUACUGAGUGAGGGCCCUCGUGGGUCGACCUCCAACCCAUUGUUGUCCGACUCUGUUGCCUCGGGGGCGACCCGGCGCUUCGGCGCCAGGGGGUCCCCGCUGGUCCACACAACUCUGCAUCUUUGCGUCUGAGUAAACAUUAAAUGAAACAAAACUUUCAACAACGGAUCUCUUGGUUCUGGCAUCGAUGAAGAACGCAGCGAAAUGCGAUAAGUAAUGUGAAUUGCAGAAUUCAGUGAAUCAUCGAAUCUUUGAACGCACAUUGCGCCCCCUGGCAUUCCGGGGGGCAUGCCUGUUCGAGCGUCAUUACACCACUCAAGCCUGGCUUGGUAUUGGAGGUCGCGGUCCGCCGCGCCUCCUAAUGUCGCCGGCCGAGUCGUCUGUCUCCGAGCGUUGUGAAUCUUCAAUUCGCUUUCGAGUACAGGCGGCGCGCGCCGUUAAACCUCUUUUUCAGGUUGACCUCGGAUCAGGUAGGGAUA